CUUUCAGGGCUUGAAAGGAAGGGCUUAAGGAGCCUGACAGAGGCCCGGGAGCUCCUCCUACUCUUAAGGAGGCUCGGAUAUGGAGCCUCAGCCUGCGCUCAGAACCCGCGAUCAGGGCUUAGGGGCAGCUGUUUGCAGCCGGCCACGGGCCUUUUUGUUUGGUUCUUUUAAACUUUAUUGGGGGUCCGGGGCGGGGGGAGGGUGGCAUUAAUUUCCCCUGAACCCCAUCUGUGCCUUCGACCGGCUUCAGAAUUCGAUUGGUUUUUCGAGUUCCCCAUCUUUGGGUCCUGAUCAUCACAGGCGGGGAGAUCAGAAUUCAUUGUGGGACUUUGAGACUUGAACGUUACGUAAACACACAUAAGAAAGAGGCACACACUUCAGUUAGGGGGAUACUGAUGAGAUAUGUACAGCCCCCUUCCCCCUCUUCCCAGCACGUGGUCCAAAUUUGCCGAUCCGGCAGGUUCGGCCCUGGAGCCAGGCAUCGUUGUCAAUUGCAAGACAAAUGCAAUCAACCAGAUUAGUAUUUUAGAACUGUCAGUUACUAACACGAUUGUGAUGAGAAAACAAUAGCAUGACAAAUCUUUAGGGAUGCCGAGCAGGACCUCCUGGCUGCAGCCACAGCACAAAGGAAGGGGGUAAGCUGGUCCGUUCCCCAAGGUUUAUAAACAAGUGUCGACUUCAAGCCCUCGUUCUGUUUAAGAGGGAAGCUGCCCGGCGCGGGACUUGGCGAACUACCUUAACUGCGGCGCAACGCAGCCUUCGACCACCAGAGGCAGCGGGCGUCUGCGGCCUGUCAAAAACUGGCGCUUUUUUCCUCCCCUUUCCGUGGAAAGACUAUCAACUCCAUCUGUCACAAAAAUUAAGGCUAAAUCUCCUUUGCAGAAGCAGAGGGAGCUGGUCUCCAGCGCGCACAGAGUUCGGCUGCCCGCCUCUCCCCGGAGGCAAGUGAAUCCAAACUGGCAAAAGCGAGAGCAGGGCCCCAGCAGACUUGCCCGGCUGGCUGCCGGAGCGCCUCCUGUGCCCGCGGAGGCUGCAGCGUUCCUCCCCGCGCGCGGGGUCUGCCUUAGGAAGUUGCACCCUCUGCAGUUCCCAAAACACUACCACACAAAAUGACCUGUACAGGAACUCGAGGUAAAGCAGAUCGUUUUGGGCUGACUCGAGUCAAAGGAAACACAAUAUCAAUCUCGACUUUAAAAAGAAAAGAAAGGCGACAACUCCGUGGCCCAUCUAAACAACCAUUUGCCAGGCUCUGGAGUGUUGUUGUUGUUGUUGUUGUUGUUGUGUUAUUUGGAGUUGUUAUUUCAGUCUGGGAAGGGUGGCUUGGGCAAGUCCCACUCUUCUGUAACUUGGGUCCUGCAUAUGUAAGUUUCAAGGCGAGACUAGACACUUGGAAAAGUUUUUUCAUCUUCACUGCUCUGUGAUUUUAGGCUCAUAAAAAGGUCAAAAUUCAGCUGUAUCACCACCCUAGCUGGUUUGGUUCAGUGUAUAGAGCAUGGGCCUAUGGACUCCAGGGUCCCGGUUCAAUCCUGCUCAAGGGCACAUGCCUGGGUUGCGGGCUCAGUCCCCAGUAGGGGGCGUGCAGGAGGCAGCCAAUCAAUGAUUCUCUCUUAUUAUUGAUGUUUCUAUCUCUCUCUUCCUCUCCUUUCCUCUCUAAAAUCAGUAAAAAUAUACAUAUAUUUAAAAAUUCAGCUGUAUCUUUAAGCUAAUGUGGGUCUCACACUUUAGUGAACAUGAGAGAUGCCUGGUGGCCUAGUUAAAACCCACCUGGAGUUCCUGGUGCAGCAAGACCGGUGGGGUCAGAGAAUCUGCUUUUCUAACAAGUUUUAAGGGGAUGCUGCCACCGCCACCUCUGCUGCUUGCCUGGGACCAAACUUUGAGAACCAUGGCUCCAGAGAGCCACAUGGUUGUUUGUUUUUCUUGUUGUUCUUUAUAAAAUUUGCCCCAUUCUAACACAGCUCUCAGUGGGACUUAAGGGACUCCAGAGAGAUUGUGUGCUUCAGGGACACCUAAGUGCCACAGUCUCACAAUAUUUCAGACCUGCAGGGCUGUUUAUCAGGUCCCUGAUACUGGCCUGAGAAGGAGGCUAUGAUGAGAUGGGAGAAUGAAUGAGCCCCCUUCCCGGUGAGGCCCAGAAACCACGAGUCCCAUCGUGCUUCCCAUCCAGGUUUGCAUCGAUAGCCACCAAACCAUCCCUCAGUACCCAGACACUAAUCCCCAUAUUACUCUGUAAAUCUCUUAAACUGACUUCAUUCCCGUCGUGAGCACCCUCCCUGCAAACCCACUUCCCCUGGAGCUCUCAAUCUGUUCUUAGAAAAAUCUCGCAUGUCUUCACCCUGCUUUCUGAGCUGGAUCUUCACAUUCUUGCUCUAACUAAAACCCACUGCAAACUACAGAACGGGAGAAAAUAUUUGUAAACCAUAUAUCUCAUAAGGGAUUACCAUUCACCAUAUAUAAGGAACUUAUACAACUCAAUAGCAAAAAACAAACAAUCUGAUUGAAAAAUGGACAGAGGACUUGAAUAGACAUUUUUCCAAGGAAGGCUUACAAUGGCCAACAAAUAACAGGAAAAGGUUCUCAACAGCAUUAAUCAUCAGGGAAAUGCCAAUCAAAACCACAAUGAAGUUAUCACCAUAGAGUUGUUAGAAUGGUUAUCAUUAAAAAAGAAGGAAAGAAAGAAAUACUGGUGAGAAUGUGGAGAAAAGAGAACUAUGGUGCACUGAUGGUGGGAAUGUAAAUUGGAAGUUACUGGAAAACAGUUUGGAGGUUCCUCAAAAAUUAACAUAGAACUACCAUAGUAUCUAGCAAUUCCACUUCUGGGCAUGUAUCAAAAAGAGAGAAAUCACUAUCUUAACAAAAUAUCUGCACUCUCGUGUUCAUUGCAGCAUUAUUCACAAUAGCCAAAAUAUGGAAACAACCUAAGGGUCCACUGAUGGACAAAGAAUAAAUAAAAUGUGAUGAUAGAUAGAUAGACAGACACACAAUGGAGUAUUAUUCAGCCAUAAAAAGAAGGAAAUCUUGCCAGUUGUGUUAACAUGGGUGGCCCUCAAGUAAGAUAGAUGGAUAAUUUCUAUGGAAAGAAGACCUCCCACAAUUGUGGAAGCUGGGGCAGCAGGUAGAGCAGUCUGUUGCUUCUGUGUUCUGAUUUCCACGUGUAUAUAUUUAUUUGUUCAGUGAGCUUUGCAAACCUAACACCCAAGAGCACUUCUGAUUUCCUACCCCCAAAACCUGUUUGAUCCCUGUGUUUCUGUGGUAGGUAGUCUCCAAAAUUGGCCUCCAUCAGUUUCCUCCCUCCCUUUGUAUCCAUACCACUCAGAUCAAGAGGCAGAGUCUAAUUCCUUUUCCCUUAAAUGUUCAGCAGGUCUUAGUGAUUUUGACCUAUCCUAUCCUAUAUAAUAAAAGCCUAAUAUGCUAAGUGUCCGGUUGUCUGCUCAACCAAUCAAAGCAUACUAUGCUAAUGAUAUGCUAAGGCCGCUCAACCUCUCGCUAUACCGUGCACUGAAAACCAGGGGGCAGAUGCUCCAACCGGUAGGUUAGCUUGCUGCUGGGGUCUGGCUGAUCAGGACUGAGCAAGAUGGGCCAGACACGCCCUGGAGCCCUCCAAUGGUCCCUCCCUGGCUGGUCAACCUCCCACGUCCCUCCCCGGCCCGAUCGUGCACCAGUAGGGUCCCUCUGCCUGGCCUGUGCCCUCUCGCAAUCUGAGACCUCUCAGGGGAUGUUGGAGAACUGGUUUCAGCCAGAUCGCUCAGGCCAGGCUGAGGGACCCCACUGGUGCCCAAAUUCGUGCACUGGGCCCCUAGUAGAAUAUAAUGAUAGUAACUGACAUCCUGUGGCUUUCACACUAAGUCACAAGAAGCCCUGCAGCUUCAACCUGGGCCUCUUGGUGUGUUUGCUCUGGGGAAGCCAGUCACCAUGAGCAGACAGAGCAGCUGUUCUCUGAGGAGCAGAAAACGUGCCCUACACCGUUGCUUGGGGACUCAGAGAUCAGGAUCCUGGCUGGGUUUCGACAUCUAAUAACAAGAGGAAAUCCCACAAAAUCAGUAGGAGCUCCAAUUCUCAGGAAAUUUGACUUUCAUACUCUGUGCAAAAGAGAUAUUAAUGGAACUGAGAUUGAAAACCCAAAAAGUCAAGUUCUGUAGAGACCAUUUGAGGCACAACCUGCUUCAACCUCUGUGGCUUGUAGUUAGGAGAACUGUUUUCUACAAAGAAUAAUUUUUUCCAAGGAAGAGCCUUGUACUCACUUGGACAUUACACCUUAAGUUAACUGGGGCCACUUCUCCAAUGGGUAUUGUAGAAUGUUUCAAAACCAUGCCAGGCCUUGUUUUAAGACCUAGUACUUCACUAUUAAAAUAAGAAACUUUUUAAUAAUUUUGUAAAUCUGGAUAAACUGUUCUCUAAAUAAAAAUAACAUAAUUUGUAGGAGGAGUUAGGAAUUAUCUUAAAAA